rnacentral:lncRNA from 1 species
AAGACAGGCACAUCCUGUACUACAUUUUGAGAUCCAGUCAUCUUCUAGGGACUGAUGCAAGUUGUGUGGCUCUAUGCUGAUUUGUGUCAAGUAAGAAGGAAGCAACUUGGAAGUCUGUGAAGAACAGGAUCAUCUCUUGAAGCAGUGAAACCUGCUGAAAUAAUGAGGAUCCUGCUGACAUAACGGGGAUCGUGUUUGAUGCACAUCCAUUCUGCAGCACAUCCAGGGGAAGUUAACAUUUAAAUUCAAGAAACACUUAUGUAAAGCAACCAGACAUAUGCCGAAUGCUUCUUGAAUUAUUUAGUAAAAUUCUAAUUAUCUAGAUAGUAUGCAUAAAAUGGACAAUUUGUAUUUAAAAUUUCAAGCUUAUAUCCUUGGCUAUAUAAUUGUACAUGAUUUUCCCCCAGAGCUAGAAAGAGAAUCUUUAAUGUAUGAUAAUUACAUUUGAAGAAGAAUUAAAAAACACAUGUAAUUUAAAUAAAAUCAAUAAAAAGAGCUGUCAAAUAUCUACUUGAGCUCAUUUCAUGGAAAUCUUCUAAAGUUGUGCUCAACAUUUCUUUCUUCUUUUCAGAGUGUAAGCAGAAUAUUUCUCUCACUUUAGAAAGAGGCCCUGAACUUACUAACUAUUCCUCUAGAACCAUGCACCAUUUCUUUGUCCAACCCUGACAAGGCUCAUUGUAUUUCCCAGUUUUCUUCAUUUGGAUUAGCUAGAACUGGGUUGUUGACUCUGUUCAGAGAAAUAAGUGAAGUCAUACAAUAAGGGAACCUUUGUAACUGGUCUCUCUUAACACACUUUUCAAAAAUCUUCACAUGUUCUGUGUCUGUUCUUCACUUGUACAGCUAAACAAUUAAUUGUAAGGCUAAAAUAUUAUUUUAUUUGUCAAAGCAUCAAUGUAUAAGUACA